AAGCAAUAGUUGAUCAAUUCCCCCACCCUGCCUUCCUAAUGUUAAAAAUGAUCAUCUCAUCACUUCCACCCAUAGUUGUCAAGAAGUUAGCAGCCUAUUUGAACUAGAGAAAGUCCAAGUCCUUGGCAAAAGAAAGGAAUGCACCGUCUACAAAGUAUAUUGCAACAAUAUUGGUCUACACAUUAAAGGUGGUUUAUGCAACGUAUUCUUUCAAUAAUAUUCACGAUAUUCUUCAAGCGAUUGAAAUA
rnacentral:lncRNA from 1 species